GUUAUCGUUUAUUUGAUAGUACCUUACUACUUGGAUAACCGUGGUAAUUCUAGAGCUAAUACAUGCUGAAAACCCCAACUUCGGGAGGGGUGUAUUUAUUAGAUAAAAAACCAACGCCCUUCGGGGCUUCUUGGUGAUUCAUGAUAACUUCACGGAUCGCAUGGCCUUGCGCCGGCGACGGUUCAUUCAAAUUUCUGCCCUAUCAACUUUCGAUGGUAAGGUAUUGGCUUACCAUGGUUUCAACGGGUAACGGGGAAUUAGGGUUCGAUUCCGGAGAGGGAGCCUGAGAAACGGCUACCACAUCCAAGGAAGGCAGUAGGCGCGCAAAUUACCCAAUCCCGACACGGGGAGGUAGUGACAAUAAAUACUGAUACAGGGCUCUUUUGGGUCUUGUAAUUGGAAUGAGUACAAUUUAAACCUCUUAACGAGGAACAAUUGGAGGGCAAGUCUGGUGCCAGCAGCCGCGGUAAUUCCAGCUCCAAUAGCGUAUAUUAAAGUUGUUGCAGUUAAAAAGCUCGUAGUUGAAACUUGG
rnacentral:rRNA from 1 species